rnacentral:rRNA from 1 species
AUUGAACGCUGGCGGCAUGCCUAACACAUGCAAGUCGAACGGCAGCGCGGGGGCAACCCUGGCGGCGAGUGGCGGACGGGUGAGGAAUGCAUCGGAAUCUGCCUGGUUGUGGGGGAUAACGUAGGGAAACUUACGCUAAUACCGCAUACGACCUGAGGGUGAAAGUGGGGGACCGCAAGGCCUCACGCGAUCAGAGGAGCCGAUGUCGGAUUAGCUAGUUGGGGGGGUAAAGGCCCACCAAGGCGACGAUCCGUAGCUGGUCUGAGGGGACGACCAGCCACACUGGAACUGAGACACGGUCCAGACUCCUACGGGAGGCAGCAGUGAGGAAUUUUGCGCAAUGGACGAAAGUCUGACGCAGCGACGCCGCGUGUGGGAUGAAGGGGCUACGCCCUGUAAACCACUGUUAGAUGUGAAAAAAAGAUAGGCUUUGCCGUCCGGGAUUGUAACAUCAAAGAAAGGACCGGCUAACUACGUGCCAGCAGCCGCGGUAA